AUGUCCGGGAUGCCGCGCCAUCCUCUUCUUCGUCAAUUACGGGCAUGGGUUCGAGCUUCCUCGUGCCACAACGUCGCCAUCUGGCCAUCUUCUUCAACCUCGGGACGCCGGCUUCCAUCACCGAUUCGCCAUCCCCGGCGCUUCCCUGAGCCCGGUGGCUUUCCCUACUGCGUCUCUACGAUGGAGCCCAGGAGCCAGACGCCACCGUCGACGAUGACUCCUACUACACUGGAGGAGCCUACUACUACGUGCAGCCCGCUGACGACGACCAGGAGUAGUUUAGGAGGAUCCCAGGCAGGAGGUCUGCGCCUCUUUCGAUCUGUAUCCCUAGUUUGUGCUAGCCAUCUUAUGGCAUCUUGUUUAACUUAUGUCUGUACUCAGAUAUUGUUGCUUCCGCUGACUCGUCUAUGA
rnacentral:rRNA from 1 species